GACGAACGCUGGCGGCAGGCUUAACACAUGCAAGUCGAGCGCCCCGCAAGGGGAGCGGCAGACGGGUGAGUAACGCGUGGGAACGUGCCCUUUGCUACGGAAUAGCUCCGGGAAGCUGGAAUUAAUACCGUAUGAGCCCUACGGGGGAAAGAUUUAUCGGCAAAGGAUCGGCCCGCGUUGGAUUAGCUAGUUGGUGGGGUAAAGGCCUACCAAGGCGACGAUCCAUAGCUGGUCUGAGAGGAUGAUCAGCCACAUUGGGACUGAGACACGGCCCAAACUCCUACGGGAGGCAGCAGUGGGGAAUAUUGGACAAUGGGCGCAAGCCUGAUCCAGCCAUGCCGCGUGAGUGAUGAAGGCCUUAGGGUUGUAAAGCUCUUUCACCGGAGAAGAUAAUGACGGUAUCCGGAGAAGAAGCCCCGGCUAACUUCGUGCCAGCAGCCGCCGUAA
rnacentral:rRNA from 1 species